GCAAAUCAUGUAAGUCUAUGGUUGUAAAUACAGGGAUGUCCACAUCACCAACAACAUAUGUUCAGUGUCCUUGUACAGUCACGUAGUGCACAGGUCCUCAGCAUGGGAUGGAGCUGCAUUAUUUUCUUCCUGGUAUCAGUAAUUACAGGUGUUCAUUCCCAGGUCCAGAUGCAGCAGUCUGGUCAUGAACUGGGGAAACCUGGGGCCUCAGUGAAGCUGUCCUGCAAGACUUCAGGCUACACUUUCACAAGUUACUAUAUUUCCUGGGUGAAGCAGAAGCCUGGAGAAAGCCUGCAGUGGAUUGGAAGGGUUUAUGGUGGAAAUGGUGGUACUAGCUACAAUCAGAAGUUCCAGGGCAAGGCCACACUGACUGUAGAUAAAUCCUCCAGCACAGCCUACAUGGAGCUUAGCAGCCUGACAUCUGAGGACUCUGCAGUCUACUACUGUGCAAGAGACACAGUGUUGAAACCACAUCCCGAGUGUGUCAGAAACCGUGGAGGAGCAGGAAGCUACCCUGGGGCUGAGAUAAAAGAGAAGAUAAUCCUGGGAGUUUACUCAGAAGUAUUCAAUCUGAGUGUCCCUUUGUCACUUUGCACAUUCCUACCAGUUUCUCACAUGAGUUGAUUCUGAUUUAGGAUAUCUCAGUGUACACCAUACCUUGACAAUCUGUUCACCAGUGACUACAUCUCUCUGUCACAGAAUAAGAGGAAAAUUGACCUGGAAUAGGAGAGAGACUCAGGGAGGGAGAGAGAAAGAGAGAGAGAGAGAGAUAGAGACAGAGACAGAGAGACAGAGACAGUGAAACAGAGAGACAGAGACAGAGAGAGAUGUCUAAGGACAUGUACUUCCACGCAUGAGGAAUCUUGUCUAAGUACUGUCCUUUCCUCCACCAACUGGAGGACAGGAAAUAAAUUGACUUACAGCAUGCAUUUGCUGGUUUCUACUUACUUCUCCAUGUAAUACAUUUUAUAUAGUUGUUCACCAA